rnacentral:rRNA from 1 species
ACCUCCGGUUUACCGGUUGUGCCGCCAGGUGCACCGCCGGGUAUCUGAGUCUGGAUCGGAUAAGCGCUGAAAGCAUCUAAGUGCGAAGCCGGCCGCAAGAUUAGAACUCCUCAUAAGGGUCGUCCAAGACGAGGACGUUGAUAGGGCGCAGGUGUAAAGGCGGCGACGCCAAAGCCGAGCGCUACUAAUUGCCCGAAACUUUCUUAC